CACACACACACACACACACACAGGCUUAGAAUAUAGAGCAACAUUUUUCUGUAUUUGAUACUAAUAACAGACAUCCUUUAUGCACUAUUUGAUGAUGUUUAUGUUUUUUCCCAGUUGUAAUACAUUCCAACAUGAUGACCUCGGUAUAUAGUCAGUCAUAUGUACGUACAUGCAUACGUCAGCCAAUCAUUCAUUCAUAUGGCAAGAAACACAUUUAAAACAUCUAUUGUAAGAAUACAUUUAUUUAAAAGGCUUUAAAUAUAUGCUUUUUUCACAACUGUAUUUUAUAAUUAACAAUGUCAACAUGAGGGCAUUCCUGGAUUUAUCUGUUUAUGACAAGAAAUGGGUACUCCUGGAUUUAUCUACUUUAUGGAUGUUAACCCCCGAGGUUCAAACUAUAUCAUUGAAGUAAACCUGAGAAGGCCAAUACCUGAGUUGACUCAUUGCUUGGUAAGCCAUUUUGUCUCAAGGCUUAAGUAAAAUGGACCAUUUCCACUGAUAGUUAUUCAGCAGGACUUUGGACUUUUGGGCAAACCACACUGAUCAUGACUAAAGCCAGCUUUACUUGCAGCUUAUUCUUAAAUAUGUAAGCUGAGAAAAAUACAUAUGGGAAAUCCUAAUUCAGUUAUCAAUAAAUAUCAGGUUAUAUAAGUAUACUGACAGUCAGGCUUAACAGAAACAAGUUGAUAUGAGAUGAUAUGCCCAGCAAAGAGCAUGUGAUAAACUACUGAAAAGCUUUAAGCUAGGUUCUACCUUUAGCCCCCAAAUACUUCUCAAAAGUUUAAUGUUUUUAAAUGGUCUACUAUCAAAAUGUCAAAAUUCAUAUGGUCGACGUUCAUUUGGUCAAAAUCAUUGCAUCGACAUUAAAAAGUCUACAUAUAAAUGGUUGACACACACCUGAAAACUAACGCUAAUGUUUUUGCAGAGGGGCUGUGCUGUGCUGCACCCCCCGCUACUUAUAUAGUACAACUCCAGGAUCAUACAACAGUGCUGACAACAGGAUAAAUCCUUGCCUGUUGUCAACAUAAUGUUGACAAAAGGUCAAUUGCACUGUCUGUCGACCAAAUGAACUACUUAAUAUUAAUGUGUCAACCAUAUGAACGUUAGACCAUAUGAAUGUUGACAUUUUGAUAGUAAACCCUUUUAAACAUAUGGUGAGUAUGUGGACUUUUUAUGGUUUAUUUUAAAUAAAUAGUAUCUGAAAAAAGUAAAAGAUAUGAGGCUUGUUUAAUAGCCUGUUAUCAUGCACACAGAUGAUACAUUUUACUCCAUUUAUAAACUGGGUCUGUUAUAAGAACUCAGUUAUCAGACAUUCAAGAUCAAUUUCUUGUAGCCAGGAAGUCAAGUAUCUUAUAACUUGCACGGGCUGCCACUUAUGUUCAAACUUAACUAUAUCUUUGGGUGAGGUGAACCAGCCAUGUGGAGAGAGUGGAGCUGCCCCAGCUCACCCAAACACUAUAGCAGAAUUCAAUCAAGGUUGUCUGAUAGCAAUAGGGAGGGAGAGAGAGAGAGAGAGAGAGUGAGAGUGGGAGCAUAGAUUAUGCUUUCAGGCAGUGAUCAGAAGUGGGCCUUACAUUUAGGGAGUUGGGAGUUUUAGGGUUAGGGAACAGGAGGAGAGUUUAGAGUUUGGGACUGAUGGGAAACUUCAGGUUUAGGAAGUGAGUCUAUAUUAUAUUGUCGACAGGUGAAAAUGCCGACUCUGAUUUGUUCGACACCAAAAUGUCAAACUACAAAAUUAGCGAACGGCCAAAUCACCAAUUUCUUUCCAACGGAAAUAAAUCUGUUGUCUGCUCUCUUGCACCUGCCCUUUCCCUGAGUGUAGUGCAGUCUCGGAGUUAGAAUAUUUAGUUAGGGGGGUGUUGGGGGCACAGACCCCCACUUAAAUAUAUUUGUUUAUGUGUGCUAUUGGUGUUUGGCCAACCGAUUUCUUUCCACUGGAAAGAAAUCGGUGAUUUGGCUGUUCGCUAAUUUUGUAGUUCAACAUUUUGGUGUUGAACAAGUCAGAGUCAACAUUUUCACCUGUCGACAAUAUAAUAUAGACCCUAGGAAGCAGGGGGAGAGUUUUUAGGUUGAAGGAGAAAGGGAAUUUAAGGGUUAGGAAGCAGAAAGGGAGUUUAGGGUCAGGGAGAAAUCAGAGACUUUAGAUGUAGGGACUGGGAGGGGAGUUUUAGGUUUAGGGAGACAGAGGGGAGUUAAGGAUUAAGAAGUGGGAAAAGGAGUGUUAAGGUUAUGGCCAUAUCAAGAACUUUAGAUUUAAGGAGGAGACAGUGCAGUUUUAGAUUUAGGGAGCAACUGUGGUCCUUAGAAUUACAGAGCAAAAAGGGAAUGUUGUGAUUAGGGUUAUGGAUCAUGUGAAAGUCUUAGGUUAAAAGUUAGGGAUCUGGUAGCACUAUGCAGUUCAAUAGGAUCAGGUGGUGGGAGGGAAAGGUAGUUAACUAGGAUCAGGGUAGUGUGAGUUAGGGCAACUGUCAUUUAGAACAAGUGGCAGAAAGCAAGGGGGUCGCAAACUACUAGCACAUGAGCACUUGUGAUAUAUCUUAUAAACUAUUGCAGUAACAUUUCAUGAGUGAUAAUUCAUGGUUAAAGGAUAUACAAAAUGACACUAUUCAUUGCUAUUUCUGUAGUACUAAGGUUUUUGUUUCACUCAAAGCAUUUAUAAUCACUUUCUAAAUUGUUGUAUCCCAAAAUGAUCCGAUGGGAGGUUACCAUGCUCAUUUAACACUCGAGGUUGCUGCCUCCUUUAUAUAAUUUUACAGUGUUACAGAAUGGUGAGAAGAGCCCUUGUGUGCUAAUUCCUGUGUAAUAACUUGAAUUGAGAGUACUUUGAUUUCUCUCUUUUUAACUCUCUUGUGGUAAGAGUGUCUCUUUUUCUUGUUCAGUAACAUCCUUUGAUUCUAUUAGUGAUCAUCUGCUACACAGCAUUUUAAGUUACUUUUAAUUGUUAAGCUUGAAAUAAUGUUAGUGCUUUUGUCUAAACUCAGAGCUAUACUUACAUCCUGAAUUGAUAACAAACACAUAAAAAAGACUGACUGCAGUAAAUAACCAGAUUAAAACAUUUGAUUUAUCCUGCAGCUACCAUUAAUGACCAGCCUAAUUACACUACUUAAAUGUGUGACAGCUGUUCCCAUGUACAUCCCUAUUUCCCCGAGCAAAGUACAUGUGUUAAUAAAAGAGGAAAUGGUUAUGUUAUUUUUUUUGUUUUAGUUUAUGAAACCAGAGUUUUCCUAGCUGGCUUUGGCAGCAAACACAAAGUAAGAUAGCAGGCACUUAGGACAACACUAAUAUUUAAAUACUUACAGAGUGACAGUUUUAUGUACUCAUUAAAUAUUUGUUAUUUUUGAGGAUCUAUUCUCUGACUUUGUUUUUCUUUUUUUUAUAUACACUUAGUGCCUGUACAAAUACAGAUGCAAAUACCUGUACCCUGAUCAUGUGUCAUAAAUAUGCAAGGGUUGAUGACAUCAGCAUGUAGGCAGCAUGUGGCAAUGUCACAGAAAUCAUCAGUUUUUAGUGUAUUAUAAAGCUUAAAUAUUUAAAUAAAUAUUUAAAGAAAAAUAUUUUGCUAGCAGCUGCAAGUCUGGAAGUUGGAAAAUGUGCAUGAGGGUAGCAACUUCUCUGGUAACACUGACAGGUAUAGGUGUCAUUUGCAGAUGGAAACACUGACAGGUAUAGGUGUCAUUUGCAGAUGACCUUCAAAAGGAAGGAAAAGCAACCUGUUCUGAGAAAACUUGGAAUUUUGGUGAAGUCAUCCUUUAAUACCACAUGUGAGAUCCCUGCACAUUUUGUUUCAGGACACAUAUACCUUCCCACUGUGUUUUUAAAUGCUUCUAGCUGAGGAAAAAAGUCUCCGUCUCUUCCCUAAUACCAUAGCUGCCUUUAAAUGGUAAUUUAGAAAAAAAACAGCAUUUAAAUCAGGCACUUCUGCUCACAGAGACUAACAUCUAAUCAAAGUCUGUAUGUUAGAAAUAGAAAUGCCAAAAUUUUACGAGCGUUAAUUUAAAAUGAUGGUCUUCUGUGACUCCUUUCCUUGCUGUUUAGAAAUUGUGCUGUGUGUACUGGCCAAUAUGUGCGCUAAAUGGAUUUUUUAAUGCUUUUAAAAAGAGAGUAAUCACUUAUAAGAUAAGACAGAAAAGAAUGGAGGUAGGCAAUAAUCAAAUGUACUAUACCUUCACAGUAACUAUGUUAUCAGUUGCACAUAUUUGCCUAUGUCAAAAUAUUUGAGAUAGUUGUAUUUAUUGCCUGGGUAAAUACAAACACGUACAUUCAUGCCUGUGAAAAAAGAAGAAUGUACUGCAUCAAAGUUAUAUUUUGUAAAGGACUAUGUGAUAUAAAAAAUUGAUGGUAUGCUAUUUACAUAUGCAUAGCAUGCAUAUACAUUUCCCAAAAGGUGUAACCUCUUAUUUCCAUGAAGUACUUUCACCUACAUACAGUACAGUAUGGAUUACAUUGAUUGUGAAGUAUAGCAGAAGGCAGGACAUGGACAUGUAUACUAAACUACAAAUCCCUUUAAAUGAAAACGAAAUAUUUUACAAAGUACAAUUUAUGAAAUUAGGGAAUGGUUUAUAGCUUGCAGUCAGAAGUUAGUAUGAACAAAUAUGAACUGCAUUGUAAUGAUUACUUGAAUAGCACUACUAACCUGGUAUAACAAUAUCCAAGUAGCAUUCACUGUACCUCCAGCUUGGCUAGUUCUAAGAAGCGCAUAGUGAAUCAUGUUAUUUGCCAAGGCUUUUUACCCAUUUAGCAUUAAAUGCUUGAAUUACGCAUAAAAUCUCUGCACAAAAUCAACACACUCUGUAUAUUGUAGUUGCAUAUUGAAACUAUGAACAUAUUAUUUGAGUGAAUUUUACAUAUUUUAUGUAUUUGUUUGUAACAAUAUUACAUUGCAGAUAAGCAAAGGCAAUUUAUAUAGAGAAAGCACUGCAAACAGCCUAUUGUCUCUUAAUAAAUACACAAUAUUUUCCACCAGCUUUCUUUAAAUAAAAUUUAUUGUUUUUUUUUAGUUAUGCGUAUUGAAGCCUUCUUCUGAUACACAGUGCCUUGUGAAAAAAAAUGCUUUACAAUACGCAGAUAAAUGUUUGAAAUGAAGCAGGUGUUUGUAAUGUAAAAUUGUUCCUGUUGUAAGAAAAUUAAGAAAAUUAUGGACUGUUAAUUUCUUCAGAGAAUAAAGUUUUAUUUAUUCCCCA